UCGUGCGAGAAAGGGGCUUCGGCCCUGAGUAAAGCGGCGAACGGGUGAGUAUCGCGUGGGAAACCUGCCUUCAAGUGGGGGAUAACACUCCUAACGGGGUGCUAAUACCGCAUGACACCCUUGGAUCGCAUGGUCCGAGUGUCAAAGGUGGCCUCUACUUGUAAGCUACCGCUUGAAGAUGGUCCCGCGUCCGAUUAGCUAAUUGGCGGGGUAACGGCCCACCAAGGCGACGAUCGGUAGCUGGUCUGAGAGGAUGGUCAGCCACACUGGGACUGAGAUACGGCCCAGACUCCUACGGGAGGCAGCAGUCGAGAGGCUUCGGCAAUGGGGGAAACCCUGACCGAGCGACGCCGCGUGAGGGAUGAAGCUCUUCGGGGUGUAAACCUCUUUUCUGGGGGAAGAAACCUAUGGGGUCGAAUAGGCCUCAUGGCUGACGGUACCCCAGGAAUAAGCUCCGGCUAACUCCGUGCCAGCAGCCGCGGUAAUACGGGGGGAGCAAACGUUGUUCGGAAUCACUGGGCGUAAAGGGCGCGCAGGCGGUCCGGUAAGUGGUGUGUGAAAUGCCCUGGCUCAACCAGGGAACUGCGCUCCAAACUGCCGGACUUGAGGUCAGUAGAGGAAGCUGGAAUUCCAGGUGUAGCGGUGAAAUGCGUAGAUAUCUGGAGGAACACCGUUGGCGAAGGCGAGCUUCUGGGCUGUACCUGACGCUGAGGCGCGAAAGCUGGGGGAGCAAACAGGAUUAGAUACCCUGGUAGUCCCAGCCGUAAACUGUGAACACUAGGUGUGGGGAGUAUCGACCCUCUCCGUGCCGAAGCUAACGCAUUAAGUGUUCCGCCUGGGGAGUACGGUCGCAAGGCUGAAACUUAAAUGAAUUGACGG
rnacentral:rRNA from 1 species